GAGGUUAUAGCUCAGUGGUAGAGUACUUGCCUAGCACAUGCAAGGUCCUGGGUUCAAUCUCCAGGACCUCU
rnacentral:tRNA from 1 species